AGGAGGACAGAGUGGGCCGGGUAAGUCCUGCGUGGGCACUGCCUGCAGAGCCCCACAGUCCUCUGCAAAUCUCUAGGGUCCGUGUAGCCGACCCCCAGCAGGCAAAGGAAUGCUUUCUUGUGUGGUGCCGUGGAGGAUUUUGGAAACCUGCUGUGGAACUGCAAUCGAAUGGCUUUCAUUUGCAGGCCUUUUCCUUACUGGCAAAUGUGGUGGCAUUUGUGCCGCUGGGUUUCAGGUAGGAAUCAGCGGUAGGUGGCACACUCACCUUCUCAAGGCUUCUAGAGUUCAGGGAAAUGAUUUCAGGAGCUGCAGUACUCAGGGUCCCUCCUGAGGUCACACGGAGUGAGAUUUUCUAGCCCAUAUUCUUUCUCGUUGGUGAACUCAACUCAGGGCUCCAUACGCAUAGGCUUGCUUAUUCCCCCGGCACGGGUUGUGUUAGCCUCGACUGUACCUCUUACACUUCUCGUGGUGUGGCAUUUACUCCUGAUUUAGAGUAUCCUGUAAGCUAUGAGAGGGCGUGUAGACGUCAAGGACGUUCGAGUAAGCCUCAAGAGAACAGAAUCAGAGCGUCCGGACAAAUGGCCCAAAGGAGGUGUCUCUUUUUGACUGUUCACAUCGAAACAAUCAGGAGAGAAGCAGGGAGUGAAAGACGGGGAGUGGGAGAGAAUGGGGUGGGGGGAGGGGAGAGAGAAGAACAGGGGAGUUCAUAGUGAUCAGCCAAGAGAGACCAUUCCUCCACAAGGUUCCAGACUCUCGCUCUGUUGCAGAUAAGUGGUCUCCUUAACCAUGGGCAGGGUGUCGUGCAAGGUGACUAUAGCGUGACUCACUCGUCCAUCUACAAGUCCCACUGAAAGUCAACACAGCAGGGGCGGGAGUGGAAGGGCAGAGGUGACCUGCGCUCAGGUGACCUGCUGUCUCACAAACAAGAGUCCUCACCAUACAAGAGAGGCAGCUUCUAUACUAGCAAGAAGUCCUGGCGACUUAAAUCUCCUGCACCUAGAGCUGAGAGAGUGAGUAACUGAGUUAUAGUAAACCUCCUGGGCAGACUCGGCUGUCCCCAUGAAGAGGGACCCCUUGACUGAGCCAGGGAGAGUGACUGAGCAAACCUGGGCUACACAGAGGUUGAAGGAGCAACAGAGCAUGGCUGUAAGAAAGUAUGACCUAGCGACACUUACAGAAGUGUGCUUAUCUGUACCCUGACGUCACCACUCCCACACAGGGUCCGAUAACAAUGGUGAGCCUUCUCCUGGCCAUGCAGGUUCAUAAGGGUCUAUGCUUCAUGUCAAGGUGACAGAAGUAAAAUGGCUUCGACUGACUGAGAAGCAGCUGCUUCCAAGGCUAAGGCCGACCUGCAGGUUGGAAGGGGUGACAGGGGCGGGGCAAGAACACCCUUUAGGGAGAUACACAGGCAUUGAGCCACAUUUAGGGGUGCCCUAGGGACACCUCAGUCUCCCUCUGCCUUUUCUAUUCAUAAACAAACAAGCAAGCAAAAAUAGAGAGUGUGGCAAAAGACCCAACAGAGAAACAAAGCGACCUCAAGAUAAAAUAUUAAGCCAUGGUUCGAUGGCCGUGUCCAGUCGUUCUUAAGUCCUGAGCCAGUGUCUUGGCAUCUCAGUGGCUUGCAGCAUGACUUCCAAGAGGGAUUAUUUUCCCUACAAUGAUCUGUUCCUUCAGAUGUCAAGCUGUACUUUUCAUCAACCAGUCAGAGCUUCUCGUCACCAGCUGGCUGAUCUCUCCCAUCCCCACCUCCCUGGAAAGGAGUCCUAAUGAUUAGGAAAUAAAUCCCUUAAAGUGGAGUGGGUUUAAAAGCAGGAGGAGAUGCCACACAGGCCACAUUCGAAUUCACUGGGUCUUUGCUUUUAUCUCUCACUUGUCGGCCUUCUAGGUUCCUCCAGCAUCACCCGAAGAGGAGCCUACCUCCCUCCCAGUCCAGAGGAAGGAACCUUGUCACCCUAUGAACACACCCUCCCUGGGGAGCCCAGGAGGGCGGCCAUGGCUCCUGCUGCCACGGUGUGCUAUUUGGUGGAAGCGUGAGCUGAAGCAACUCUUCCUUCCUUAAGUUGCUUUACUAAGGACACUUCAUCACAGCAACAGAAAAGUGAGGUACUCAGUAGCUGUUUGCUGGGUGCCCUGGGUUGGUUCCUUUGUGUCCACACACCCCGUUAGCAGAAGGUAAUGACCAAAACCUCUUUCUCUGAUGGUGGCACUGCACUGGAACCCUGGGAGUAUUACUUGGGCACUUCCGCUGUGUGGACACUAAGGAACCAACCCAGGACAACUCCUUGGACACUCCUUGAGCACUGCAAGAAACACAGGGGCCUGUGGGAAGGGGAAGAGUGAGAUGCCGCGCCACCAUGCUGAGAGACCACCCCGAGUCUGUGGUGGAGACAGAGGACUCGGGGCUGUGCUGUUUUCAGAGGUGGCGAGAGCUUAAGUGCCCAGACUUACCUGUAGGUGUUUCUCAAAGCCAUGGAAAAGCCAGUCUCACAGAGCCAUUAAGGAAAUAAAAAUACAACUUAAAAAGUCCACGUGCAAUUAGUACACCAUCUUUGGUCUGUUAAAAUAUUUAAUGAGCGUACAAAAGCAGAUAUACAUUUAUCUUAUGCGGGAGUUUACAACAUGAUCAAACUGCAGUACAACCACCUAAGGGGAUCAUCAUUAAAUACAAACACAAUUUACAUAGUUUCCCACGCUUACAACGCCCAUCACAUUCCUACUUAAGUAUCAGCGGAGGGCUGUGCCGACCAACCGGGGCAGCAGAAAGGCACGGUUAGAUACCAGGGACCAGUAACUGACCAAGCAAGGGUAUUCUACAACGCGGUUCAUACGAAAAGUCUCAAAAGCGUGAACUAGGACCCAGACGCAGAUGUCAGUGUGCCCAUCGCAAGGCUGACUUUCUCCAGAGAGUCUCUGGGAAACUCUGGCCAAAUGGAUUAGAGGCAGAGUGGUAUGUGGGUCCCCGUUCUCUUUGCUUCUGCCUGGACCCCUGAGCUCUCCGUUAGCAGAAGGUAAUGACCAAAACUUCUUUCUCUGAUGGUGGCACUGCACUGGAACCCUGGGAGUAUUACUUGGGCACUUCCGCUGUGUCCUUCAUGUGGCCUCUAAUGUCCCCUUUCCACGGGAUGGAUGGCGAGUCUAUCUGCAACCUUCAGUGAAGACUAAAUGUAUUGUAGAGAAGAGAUACAUCUGAUAAAGCUUAGGAUGCCAUGAGAAGUAUCCGGGGGAAAAAAAAGACGUUCUAGCUAAUUUAAAGGGUUUGCCACAUUCAGUACUUAGUGGCGGGAAACAUCUUAAUCUCAUCCUGUCAAAAUUAGAGGCAGAGCAGUCAUCUGAACACUGAUUGAGGUGCCUGCUAUAACAGGUUAGAAAUGAAGAUUUCAGGUAAAAUAAAUAGAGAUUUAAAAUGCAGGUAUGGGGGUUGGGGAUUUAGCUCAGUGGUAGAGCGCUUGCCUAGUAAGCUCAAGGUCCUGGGUUUGGUCCUCAGCUCCAAAAAGAAGAAAAAAAAAUGCAGGUAUAGAGCUCCCCUCCCGGGAGAAUGGAAGAUGCCUUCUUGUGGCACCUGUGUGACACUACAAGAUCAGCUUAGGUCCCCAGUGAGAUGCUACUUGCUCUUGGUGGGAAGAGGAACCUUUCUAUGGUUUGUGUUCUGAGAUAAUGGCUUGCAGGCCUGGGGACUACCCUAGGACUGGGCCUGGCACUGGUGCAAGGUGACGGGGUCAGAGCAGGUGUCUUUGUUCUUUUCCUCAAAGCCACCUCCUCACAGCCUCGGAAGGCCUGAACCCUGUUCCUGAGAGGCCAGAGCACAGCCUCCCCACAGCACAGCCCCCCUUUCCUCCCAGGACAAAGGAGAAUGCUCUCUGUUAAUGGACUUUUCACCACGGGUCUCAGAAGAAUAUGCCUUCUCAGGGCAUUCUUCAUGUGCUGCCUUUGAAUGUCAGCCUGGAAAACGCACAAAGGCUGGGUGUUGUCCCUGCAUUCUGGGAGCUGGGGGUGGUGACUCUGCAUGGCACGGAGGUACCACGUGCCCCGGGGAGGGAGGAUGCAGGAGACAACAUGACCUUACAUUGCAGGGUAAGGGAGGGGGUUCAGAGUCUCCCAGGUUCUAUUUGGGGACCCUUUUCCACACAGGUGACACAGCUGCAUCUCUAAGUGGCAGGUGCUGGCACUUGUACUGCUACCCAAGCACCCUGCAUGCAUGUUAGAUGCCUAUCUUAGAAUAACAUCAAGGGUGCAGGCUUUCAUCACAAGUGACGCUAGCCUUUGGACUCUAUUCUUUGCAACAUUCUUAAGGACCUCUGUAGUAUAGGAAAGCAAGCCCUGCCCCCCCCCCUCUACAAACAUCAAACUACAAAUAGAACAGAUGCUCCUGACAUCCCAGGGCAGUAACUGCCCCUGGCAGCUUCUCUGGGGAUUGUGAUUUAUAGCCAGGUGUAGAGUGAGUUAAGCCUCCUUCACCAAUGCUAAACAACCAAGGACCCACAAUCAAAGAGGCUUGGACACCAAGGCUUGACCCUUGCUGUGUCCUGGGCAGGGAGCUUCCCAGAGGAAAGCACCUUUGGUUAUGCUUGGAACAAGCUGCGGGAGGCACAGGGGAGCAUCAACACAAACUCUGUACGGAAAUGCCAUAACCCUAUUUCAUA
rnacentral:sRNA from 1 species